GGACCCGCACAAGCGGUGGAGUAUGUGGUUUAAUUCGAUGCAACACGAAGAACCUUACCAGGGUUUGAAAUCAUUUCAAAACUCCUUGAAAGAGGAGCCUCCUUCGGGAUGAAAUGACAGGUGGUGCAUGGCUGUCGUCAGCUCGUGUUGUGAAAUGUCGAGUUAAGUCUCGUAACGAGCGCAACCCAUGUCUCUUGUUGCUCACUGAGUGCUUAAGAGAGACUGCCGACCAACAUCGGAGGAAGGUGUGGAUGAUGUCAAGUCAGCAUGCCCCUUACAUCCUGGGCUACACACGUACUACAAUGGUAGGGACAAUGAGCUGCGAUCCUGCGAAGGCUAGCCAAUCUCAAAAACCCUAUCUCAGUUCGGAUUGUACUCUGCAACUCGAGUGCAUGAAGCUGGAAUUACUAG
rnacentral:rRNA from 1 species